UGCUGGGGGCUGAGGGACGCGUUGCGAGCCCCGGAUACAUUGUACCCUGGGGGUACAUAAUGAAGGAUGCUGUACCUGAAAGGAAAAGGGCAUCUCCAAAAGGGGACUUCGCGGGUGGAAUUUCCUUCCAAAAUCCUCGAGGAACAAGGUGUAUUUCCGACCUGGAUUAAUGAAUCCCCCCUCCUAUCCCGCACUUCCUGUGGAAACAGUGUCAGGAUGUGGCGCGGACCUAUGUGCGUCCCUUAUACCAGGACUUGCCUUCAACGCUGAAGGUGAACCCUGGGUCAUCCCCGCUGUAUUCAGGCGGCGCUGAAAAGGCUUCUGGGCAGCCAAUAGGCCCUUGAGCGCCUCGGCCCCAUCUUGCUUCAGUAGGCAAACGGACGGGUGUCUUCAUCCACCUCCUAGGCCGUGGUCUACCCUUCGUUCAAAUGUUUCUUCCUGCUAGCUGACUGUCCAGGUCCUUAGCUGUAUCACAUUGUUCAAAUGUGUGUGCGCAGGUGUUUCUUUUUCAACUAAUCAUGCAGGAAGUGGCGGGAUGCCUUACUGCCAUUAUUUGCUGAGUAUUUCCAGAUGGAACUGUAGUUGAUAGCCAAUAAAUUUGGUACGUUUUUAUCGGGAUGCGCAUGCCAUAGAUCGUCCCUGAGAUAAUGCUUUGCAAUGUGGAACCUGAAACACCUAUUUAUAAGCCCAAGCCUUUCAUUAAUAUUAACUGUGAGACCCCUGGAAGCUACUACUUUGUGUGAGCCUGUUUUCUCCGCCCUCAAACAGUGGAUAUAAUACCCCCUUGCAAGGCUGUGAGAUUAAAUGGGUAACUGUGCAUAAUGCUAAGCAUGGUGUCUGAGACGUAAGAGGUUCCUUAUACCCAUUAGUUCACUAGGUGGGAUCACCAAGUUGAAAUUCAUUUUUUAAUAUUUUGCUUGUUGGAGUACUCACAACUCAACUUCUCUGGCUAAUUUGAUGUUUAAUUUGAAAGGUAAUGACACUAUUUUGUAACAUUUUUAGAUGCUUAAGGGAAAUUUGAAAUGCAAAGUGGAACAACAUUAAAAGGAAACUCACUUGUAAAAUAAAAACAAAAUCUAUGCAAGCCAAAGAAGUCAUGAAUGCUGAGGAAGCAAAAAUUGUGAUUUUCCCCUCUCCAAUCCCACUGACUUUUCAUUUAUCUUUAUUU
rnacentral:antisense_RNA from 1 species